rnacentral:rRNA from 1 species
UACGGAGGAUGCAAGCGUUAUCCGGAAUGAUUGGGCGUAAAGCGUCCGCAGGUGGCUGUGUAAGUCUGCUGUUAAAGAGUCUAGCUCAACUAGAUAAAAGCAGUGGAAACUACACGGCUAGAGUACGUUCGGGGCAGAGGGAAUUCCUGGUGUAGCGGUGAAAUGCGUAGAGAUCAGGAAGAACACCGGUGGCCGAAGGCGCUCUGCUAGGCCGUAACUGACACUGAGGGACGAAAGCUAGGGGAGCGAAUGGG